UACGUAGGGUGCAAGCGUUAAUCGGAAUUACUGGGCGUAAAGCGUGCGCAGGCGGUGAUGUAAGACAGAUGUGAAAUCCCCGGGCCCAACCUGGGAACUGCAUUUGUGACUGCAUCGCUGGAGUACGGCAGAGGGGGAUGGAAUUCCGCGUGUAGCAGUGAAAUGCGUAGAUAUGCGGAGGAACACCGAUGGCGAAGGCAAUCCCCUGGGCCUGUACUGACGCUCAUGCACGAAAGCGUGGGGAGCAAACAGG
rnacentral:rRNA from 1 species